rnacentral:lncRNA from 1 species
CGAUAUCAUUGAUCAUAAUCCGAUUACUGGCUUAGCAAACUGGUUUGAUGUUGUCACUUUCUUAAUCUCUCUCUUUCUCUUCUUUUCCCUCACUCUGUCUCAGUUCUGAUGAAUCUCGUGCCAGUUCUGGCCUGUCCAUGAGGAGCUCAGCAGGGGUGCUCUCAGCGGCCCAGGGAUCAGAUGCUGGGUCGGGGCCCAACGUAGAGCCUUUGGAUAUGUUUAUGCUGGGGCAGGACCAGGACUCUCUUAUAGGUCACAUGGACACUGGUCUGACCCCUGAUGCUCCUCGGUCGGUCUCUGAGAGGGUCUCCCCAACACUCCCCUCCUCCCCGGGCCGUCCAGGUGCCAACGUUAAACCAGUCCUUCCGCCCAUCCCAUCUGGAAGGAAGACCAAUGAUUCUGGCUCAAAGCAGUAA